GGAAAGUUGAAAAGAACUUUGAAGAGAGAGUUCAACAGUACGUGAAACCGCCUAGAGGUAAACGGGUGGAUCCGCAAAGUCGGCCCGCGGAAUUCAGCUCGGAGGCUCGGCGCCGGUUGGGGGUCGGAGAUCUGAACGGACUCUUCCCCAGCCUGUUUGUCGUCGUGUCGCCGUGUGCACUUUCCGCGGGCAGAGCGCCACGACCGGUUCUCGAGCGGUCAGAAGGCGGCGAGCAAGGUGGGUGCCCGCUUCGGCGGCCACUUCUUAUAGGCUCGCCUGUCCCGAUCCGCUUGGGGACCGAGGAGCCGCCGCCGGUGUAGGCCGCUUCGCUCUCCUGGGAGGUUCGACUGGCAGAGACUGGGCAACCGUGUCUGCCGACCGCCGCCUUGGACGGACGAGGUGGGCCCGCCGGCACAGGGUCAGUGGCACAUCGGUCGGCCCUCCACCCGACCCGUCUUGAAACACGGACCAAGGAGUCUAACAUGCGCGCAAGUCGUUGGGCAGUACGAAACCCGAAGGCGAAGUGAAAGCAAGGGCCGUCUCUGACGCGCCUAGGUGGGAUCCCGGUCCCCUCGCUGGGGCUGGGCGCACCACCGGCCCGUCUCGUCCGCGUUGUCGGUGAGGCGGAGCAGGAGCGUGCACGUUGGGACCCGAAAGAUGGUGAACUAUGCCUGAGUAGGACGAAGCCA
rnacentral:rRNA from 2 species